AGCGCNNGCAUGGGAGCGGCAGANGNGNGAGUAACACGUGGGNNUGUGCCCAAAGGUACGGAAUAGCUCCGGGAAACUGGAAUUAAUACCGUAUGUGCCCUUCGGGGGAAAGAUUUAUNGCCUUUGGAUCAACCCGCGUCUGAUUANCUAGUUGGUGAGGUAAAGGCUCACCAAGGCGACGAUCAGUAGCUGNUCUGAGAGGAUGAUCAGCCACACUGGGACUGAGACACGGCCCAGACUCCUACGGGAGGCAGCAGUGGGGAAUAUUGGACAAUGGGCGCAAGCCUGAUCCAGCCAUGCCGCGUGAGUGAUGAAGGCCUUAGGGUUGUAAAGCUCUUUCGCCGGUGAAGAUAAUGACGGUAACCGGAGAAGAAGCCCCGGCUAACUUCGUGCCAGCAGCCGCGGUAAUACGAAGGGGGCUAGCGUUGCUCGGAAUCACUGGGCGUAAAGCGCACGUAGGCGGGUCGUUAAGUCAGGGGUGAAAUCCUGGAGCUCAACUCCAGAACUGCCCUUGAUACUGGCGAUCUUGAGUUCGAGAGAGGUUGGUGGAACUGCGAGUGUAGAGGUGAAAUUCGUAGAUAUUCGCAAGAACACCAGUGGCGAAGGCGGCCAACUGGCUCGAUACUGACGC
rnacentral:rRNA from 1 species